rnacentral:lncRNA from 1 species
CCGUAUAAGUGAAUAGUAACCCCGACACAACAAGUUUCAAAUUUGAUAAAAAAGUUCUCCAAUACUUCGGCAUAAUGAUAUUGAAGAAAAAAAUAUCAUUUAAGAAGAAAAUAAUACCCCUUACCUCAAAAUAACCGUACUUCUGACUGAAUUUCGGUAUAGUGCUGACAGAAACCCGCACCGUAUAGCAACACUCAAAGUAUACUCACAAGAAUACGCUCGAUAAUUUAGAGAGAGAAAGAGAGAAAACUUAGUUUCUGGUGUGAUUUUCAAUUCUAACUUAG